rnacentral:lncRNA from 1 species
AACUCUAAAUCGUCCAAUAAUAAUAAAAAUAUCAACUUCAUCUUGCUCGAUGAAGUAUCAGAUAAUAGAACACCACCUAGUAACCGCAGUACUUGACCCCUGAUAUACUACUGCACCAUCUCCUCUAGUGCAUCAUCCUCAAUGUGAAAAUAUCGAUAAUGAUCAUCCAAACACUCUAUCCUCAAUCGUGAAUGAUCGAAAAACUGGGCCUCUGUCUCAAACUC